rnacentral:rRNA from 1 species
CCUACGGGUGGCAGCAGUGGGGGAUAUUGCACAAUGGGGGAAACCCUGAUGCAGCGACGCCGCGUGAGUGAAGAAGUAUUUCGGUAUGUAAAGCUCUAUCAGCAGGGAAGAAAAAAGACGGUACCUGACUAAGAAGCCCCGGCUAACUACGUGCCAGCAGCCGCGGUACUACGUAGGGGGCAAGCGUUAUCCGGAUUUACUGGGUGUAAAGGGAGCGUAGACGGCAAUGCAAGUCGGAAGUGAAAUACCCGGGCUCAACCUGGGAACUGCUUUGGAAACUGUAUGGCUAGAGUGCUGGAGAGGUAAGCGGAAUUCCUAGUGUAGCGGUGAAAUGCGUAGAUAUUAGGAGGAACACCAGUGGCGAAGGCGGCUUACUGGACAGUAACUGACGUUGAGGCUCGAAAGCGUGGGGAGCAAACAGGAUUAGAUACCCUUGUAGUC